rnacentral:rRNA from 1 species
GUAAACCCAGGCAUCCAACUACAAUUAGAUGCCCGCCAGGGUACUACGAGCAUCAGCUUAAAACCCAAAGGACCUGACGGUGUCUCAGACCCCCCUAGAGGAGCCUGUUCUAGAACCGAUAAUCCCCGUUAAACCUCACCAUUUCUAGUCACCCCAGCCUAUAUACCGCCGUCGUCAGCUUACCUUGUGAAGGUAAUAAGGGUAAGCAAAAUGGGCACAACCCAGAACGUCAGGUCAAGGUGUAGCCUAUGAAAUGGACAGAAAUGGGCUACAUUUUCUGCAACAGAAUAUAACGAACAUGCACCAUGAAAUAAUGCUUGACAGAGGAUUUAGUAUUAAAAAGGAAAUAGAGUGUCCUUUUGAACCCGGCUUUGAGACGCGUACUCACCGCCCGUCAUCCUCUGCAGUCAACACACAACGU